UACAUGGGGUGCAAACGUUGCUCGGAAUUAUUGGGCGUAAAGCGCGCGUAGGCGGUUACUCAAGUCGGAUGUGAAAGCCCUCGGCUUAACUGAGGAAGUGCACCCGAAACUGAGUAGCUAGAGUACUAAAGAGGGUCGCGGAAUUCCCGGUGUAGAGGUGAAAUUCGUAGAUAUCGGGAGGAACACCGGUGGCGAAGGCGGCUCACUGGCCCGGUACUGACGCUGAGGUGCGAAAGCGUGGGGAGCAAACAGG
rnacentral:rRNA from 1 species